UCUAAAACUUGAGAUAUAGUCUGAAUACUGAACAGUGUCUGGGUUGCAGGACAGAUUCUGACUUCUCUGUUGUUGUUACAAUUUGAACUUCAAAACGAUCCUUUUAAAUCUUGGACUCUCAUGAAAGUUUUAGACCUAUGUCUUAGCUUUCAAUC
rfam:Populus trichocarpa scaffold_6_contig_316, whole genome shotgun sequence.